CUCUCAAGAAGUUAGCGGCGGACGGGUGAGUAACACGUGGGUAACCUGCCCAUAAGACUGGGAUAACUCCGGGAAACCGGGGCUAAUACCGGAUAACAUUUUGAACUGCAUGGUUCGAAAUUGAAAGGCGGCUUCGGCUGUCACUUAUGGAUGGACCCGCGUCGCAUUAGCUAGUUGGUGAGGUAACGGCUCACCAAGGCAACGAUGCGUAGCCGACCUGAGAGGGUGAUCGGCCACACUGGGACUGAGACACGGCCCAGACUCC
rnacentral:rRNA from 1 species